rfam:Rhopalosiphum padi virus complete genome.
GAUAAAAGAACCUAUAAUCCCUUCGCACACCGCGUCACACCGCGCUAUAUGCUGCUCAUUAGGAAUUACGGCUCCUUUUUUGUGGAUACAAUCUCUUGUAUACGAUAUACUUAUUGUUAAUUUCAUUGACCUUUACGCAAUCCUGCGUAAAUGCUGGUAUAGGGUGUACUUCGGAUUUCCGAGCCUAUAUUGGUUUUGAAAGGACCUUUAAGUCCCUACUAUACUACAUUGUACUAGCGUAGGCCACGUAGGCCCGUAAGAUAUUAUAACUAUUUUAUUAUAUUUUAUUCACCCCCCACAUUAAUCCCAGUUAAAGCUUUAUAACUAUAAGUAAGCCGUGCCGAAACGUUAAUCGGUCGCUAGUUGCGUAACAACUGUUAGUUUAAUUUUCCAAAAUUUAUUUUUCACAAUUUUUAGUUAAGAUUUUAGCUUGCCUUAAGCAGUCUUUAUAUCUUCUGUAUAUUAUUUUAAAGUUUAUAGGAGCAAAGUUCGCUUUACUCGCAAUAGCUAUUUUAUUUAUUUUAGGAAUAUUAUCACCUCGUAAUUAUUUAAUUAUAACAUUAGCUUUAUCUAUUUAUA